GACGAACGCUGGCGGCGUGCUUAACACAUGCAAGUCGAACGGUGAUGAUGGGGCUUGCCCUGUCGGAUCAGUGGCGAACGGGUGAGUAACACGUGAGUAACCUGCCCCAGACUCUGGGAUAACCCCGGGAAACCGGAGCUAAUACCGGAUAUGACCCUUGUGCGCAUGUGCGGGGGUGGAAAGUUUUUUCGGUUUGGGAUGGGCUCGCGGCCUAUCAGCUUGUUGGUGAGGUAGUGGCUCACCAAGGCGACGACGGGUAGCCGGCCUGAGAGGGCGACCGGCCACACUGGGACUGAGACACGGCCCAGACUCCUACGGGAGGCAGCAGUGGGGAAUAUUGCACAAUGGGCGAAAGCCUGAUGCAGCGACGCCGCGUGAGGGAUGACGGCCUUCGGGUUGUAAACCUCUUUCAGCAGGGAAGAAGCGCAAGUGACGGUACCUGCAGAAGAAGCACCGGCUAACUACGUGCCAGCAGCCGCCGUAAGAC
rnacentral:rRNA from 1 species